rnacentral:rRNA from 1 species
AGUGAACGCUGGCGGUAGGCCUAACACAUGCAAGUCGAACGGCAGCACAGGAGAGCUUGCUCUCUGGGUGGCGAGUGGCGGACGGGUGAGGAAUACAUCGGAAUCUACUUGUUCGUGGGGGAUAACGUAGGGAAACUUACGCUAAUACCGCGUACGACCUACGGGUGAAAGCAGGGGACCUUCGGGCCUUGCGCGAUUGAAUGAGCCGAUGUCGGAUUAGCUAGUUGGCGGGGUAAAGGCCCACCAAGGCGACGAUCCGUAGCUGGUCUGAGAGGAUGACCAGCCACACUGGAACUGAGACACGGUCCAGACUCCUACGGGAGGCAGCAGUGGGGAAUAUUGGACAAUGGGCGCAAGCCUGAUCCAGCCAUACCGCGUGGGUGAAGAAGGCCUUCGGGUUGUAAAGCCCUUUUGUUGGGAAAGAAAUCCAGCUGGCUAAUACCCGGUUGGGAUGACGGUACCCAAAGAAUAAGCACCGGCUAACUUCGUGCCAGCAGCCGCAGUAA